UGUUUCUUUGGAUUAUCUCCCCACCGCUCUCUCCUUCACAUAGAUAUUUGGAAUACCUCUGUAUGCAUUCAUCUCCAGCCUUAUCCCCUCUACGUACAAAUGUUCUCAGUUCUUCCACCAGUAGCCAAAGGUCUCACGUUGGCUUUGAUGUCUCACGUCUCUUGCUCCCUCCAUGCAAGUGCCCAGCCGCUGUCACCCAUGGCCGUGCUCUGUAUCUCUAGCCAUCAGUCGUUCAUCCUUGCUCCACCGUGCUCAACAUCCAGGCUUCAGUCUCCUUGCCGCUGUCAUGGUUCAGCUUUGGAGCUCGCCUCUACUGGCCCAUGGCGCAGCAUGUCGCCCAGAUUCAAACUUCGUCGUGGUCCUCUAGCUCCUCGCCAUCAUGGCAGCCACUACUCCAGCUCGCGUCUAUGGACGUCAGACCGUAUCCCUCAAGCAGCUGCGUCUCUGUCAUACUUUGGUCUUUGAUCUCGCUGCUAGCAGACACCGGUUCUCAUCCUCGCCAACCCCUGCUCGGCCCCAGCUCGAUCUCCGCCUCGUCAUCACCGGACUAAACCGGAAUCCUUGCCGUGUUCGUGGAUACCACAUCGAAUUUAGUCAGUGAAGUCCACGUGGUGCUCACCAUGUGCUCGACACAACGGUAGAAUUGGAAAUCGUAGCUGUACUCGUGGCCUUCAGGACGUAUUAAAUUAUUGGUGAGAUGUCGUCGCUCUCGCUCUUCGUUUUAAUAUUUCUCAUCAGUUUGGUAUGCUUGCGCUAUUAAUGUGUGCCGGUGACGUGCGCGUAAAUCGCAGUAGUGAAUUAGUGCAAGAAUAAAAUUUGAUCGUGUAGAAUAGUGAAGUAUAGUACGUCGCUCGUCCCGUAUUUGGUAUUAUGCGCGGACCGGGAAGCGUCUUCGAUUUCGUGGGUUCAAGUAGGAUUUUAGUAUGGCGAGCCGAUUUGUUAUUCCUGUUAGGCUGUUAGUCGCAUUGUUAGAUAGAUUGAAUAAAUAUGUGUGGUAGGAUUUAUAAAGCUAACAAUAGGUUUAGUAUCUCGAAUGAGUGGUCGACAGGCUCCGUCAAUGUUAUGGUGUUAAUUUUGCUUGUAUGAUAAAGUGAUGCUUUGCUUUAAUUGUCAUCAUAUUAUACAUGUAAUAAAUAGUUAAACGAAUUAAAAGAAUGUAAUGUCCUGUUUUAGUCAUCAUUAUACUUGAGGUUUAAAGGUUGGUUAAGCAUCAUAGAUAGAUGUUGCUUGCUCCUCCUAGUAUCUAGGAGUGAGUAACAUAGAUAAAUUUGUUUCUAUGCAAAUCCAAGAAUUUUAUAGUAGGGAAAUGUAUUUAGGCACUUCAAGUCUUUUUCUUCUAAGUUGUAGAUGCCCCAGGUUGAUAAGUUUAAGUUAUGGUAAAGUUAAGAAGAUUUAGAGCUUAAGCAUGGUUCAUGAGUGCUUAAUGUUUGAAUUAGAUCUGAUUAAAUAAGAAGUGUGAAUAUUAUAGUUAGUCUUAUAUCGACAGCGGACGUUUCUUGUAAUUGGUUCUAAUAACUUGUUAUUAGUUUGUAAUCCUCAACCGUGUAAGAUUGUCUAGUAUUGUGCUAGUUCUUCUUAUAUUCAUACAUGUGCAUUAUGCAUUUCAUUUAGGUACGAUAAUUAAUCACGUGAUGCAGAAGACGACCCAAGUAAACCCCAGGAUAAUGCAGAGAUUGGACAUUUCCGCAAGAUGACGUCGUCACUCGGACCAACUUGAAGAUGGAUAAUCUGAAAGAGUGCUAAAACAAAGACUGAUCGUCAAGUGAUCGGCGUCUAACAAACACUAACCUAGUGUUACCCAGGCAAGCCCCGGUGCAUUUGCCACCUCCUUGCUGUUUUAAAAUUUUUUAUCACCUUGUUUGAUGCAUUAGGUGAUAGGAGUUGUGUGCUAAACCGUUGGUGCAUUUCCUUUCUUGAUUAAACAACCCUAAUACCCGUUUUAUGAAAAUUUAGUGAUGCUUACCCUGCUAAUUAAUUUAGGAUUGUUUUUAAAAGAUGAUGUGUAACACGGGAUAUGGGAGUUUGUGAAAUAAAAUGACUUGUGAUGAUGAAGCCAUUGUGGUCGCGAUGAUUUCAUCAUUCAAGUAGGGUACCUCUCUCAGGUAUCAAGUUUUGGGAAAUAAUAUGUAAUGGAGACCAGACGUUGAGCGGGAAAGUUUGCCCGUCUGUGUCGAUUAAGGACCGUUCGAUGUAGGCCUGAUGAGGUGAGACUUUGCAACUAGCCACAUGCUCCGGUAAGCCUGAACCUGGCUAUUCCAUACGUGAAAAGACAACCGCGCACUGGGCGUGGGAGAUGGUGGGAGUAGCGUGUACCCUCCUGGCUAGAGGCUGGAUGGAGGAGUACUGUGCUCCCGGGUAGCGCGGACCGGUUCACGUUGUGGAGGAUCUGUGGGAACGGUUGACAUAUGCAAGGGUUAAGUGCUACAUAUGUCGUGUGGUUAGGGAUCCCCAGCUGGGUAUAAUCGGUUUGAAUCGUCGUUGCUCCUCGGUCAUGGAGACUCAACUCACUGACCACACAUCGUAGUUUAUAAGUGAAAUAAGAAUUUGGGUAAAAGAAAGCUAGACCAGGAUAAGUGAAUGCUCUAGAUCUGGCAAAUCUAGAUUCAGGAAAAGUACUUAACUUGUGAAGUAAAAUUUUGGCAUAAGGAUCCACUCAUAGUAAGCUUUUCUGCAAAACAGAGUCUUUGAUUCUUGAUAAGCUAUACCUUGAAUCCCUCUAGCCAGCAUACCCUUGAGAGUCUUUUCUUUAGUCGGGUAAGUCUUGCUGAGUAAUUCCAUACUCAGGGUUUUAUUCCCUGUUGUUUUUCAGGUCUAGCUUUGUGAUGUUGUUGAUGGUGUUAAGUGCCGGUGGGCUCGGCCUUCUUAUAAGUCUAAGUAACCCUUCUAUACUUCUUAUUGAGGAUGGUCACUUGAGCUAGCAUAUAUUUCAAACUUAUACUUUUGUAAUCACUCCGAUAAUCAUAAAGUAAACUUGAUGUAACUUGUAAAAUUUGGUAAUAAGAUUUCCGCUACAAAAUUAUUAGUGUGUGAUUUGUGUUUACUUAAUCCUGCGGUCCUGGUUGUAAGUGGUUUAUCCGGUGUCCUUGGGGCAAUCGGACGGAUCCUGUUAAGUUUUCUGGUGCACAUGCAUAACCGUCUGAGGUCUUUGAGACAAGGACAGGUGCAUGUGGGCCCGAUACCUUGGGAGGUUCUGCCACAGCUGGUAUCGGAGCAAGAAUAAGUAUAAUACAGUCACAUACAUAUUUUCAAAACAAAGUUUUGGUUUUAGAAAACCUAUUUUCAACUAAACACAUGGUUUGGUUUGCAAAAAAAACUAUAAUGCUAGCGACAUCCUCUAUUAAGCCCUAAAUUAAGGAAUAUCAGGUGGCUUAGUUUAAAACUACUAACCCACAACCGGGUGGGUAUUGCAUACAUGUGUAUUGUUAUUUUUGAGGCCAUUCAGUUUUGAAUGGAUCGACGCUCAAGGUAAGGUGACAUGUGAGAGCAUGACCGAACAAACGUCGGUCUAGGGGAGUGCUUAAUUGUAGCGCUUGAUUAUAUACAUGUUUCCCAUAUGUAUAUAUGAAGGCUGCGAUGUGGAGUAUUUACUUUUCUAGGAAUUCAGUACCCCAUGAAUGUGUACGGGUAUACAGACAUGGGAAUACUGAGAAGUGUAAUGUACUUGUAACGACGCACCUACGCUCAGAUAAGAAGGUAAGUUACCAUAAUGAGUUGCCCUAUGGUUAAAGUGUGGCAACGGCGCCUAUGCGUGGCUCGGCGCUUAAUGAAGAGCUGGCCUCCAUAUAGCAAUAUAUGGAGUAUAAACUGUGAUAAACUGUCUUGUGUGAAUUGCAUCAUUGGGAAAUUGGGUUGUGAUGGAUUCUUCUGCAGGUACACUAACCUCGAAAACGUAUGUGUAGCUGACGACUAGCAAAAUACCGGGAGAGUCGUAAGUAUGCCACCGAUAUAGAACGUUAUUGUCACAGUAAGUUGGCAAACUCGUGAGGACGUAUAAGACGAGCAUGCAUCUUGAUUGUUGCAUCUUGUUUGUCACCUAUACAUCCAAAAUGCUUUUCUUAUCUUUAUUCCAGUAAACCGUGAUUGUGGAUAAUGUGGUGUAAUGCUAUAGUAUGGACUUCAGUGAAAUAGUUGUCCUCCAUUCUUUAGGUAACCUGUUAAGGUCUUAUAUGGUGUUUGCUCUUGUGCUUGAUGUGUCGAUAGAAGGUUGGUGACUUGUUUGCCUAAACUCAAAACUAGGCUAUGUUCUUAUUUAGUGAGCCAUGACCCAAAAUUCAAGUUUUCCGUUAUCACUCCAUGACCAAACACAUAAAAAUAGAUGCCUAGAUAAUUUCUUUGUUGGACCUAAAGUGUACCCGGACUUGAAACAAGAAUCUCGAGUCAUGUCUCCAUCCUAAACCAUAUCCUUAUUCAGUUGGUGCAAGCUGAUGUACCUUAUUCAAUUCACCUGUUCUUAAGGAUCGCCAUGUUGCUUUAUCAACCUAACCCAGAAAAGACAUGUCCGAGUAUUUUCUUGAAUUUGAUGCCUUUGGUUUCCCAUAUCUAUCAAAGGCAUACCAACUUAAUUUGAUGAUUGUUUUCCCUCCGUAUCUAAUCAGAUAUUAAUCCUUGACCUUGUAAAGUUGUAAUCUCUAUGAUGGGCAUAGAAAUAUGCUUGGGGCUGAAUUAACAGUCUCCCAUCAUACUCCCUUCAUCAACCAAUUUAGGUUAUGGCCACGCCUUGUUCAUUUCAUUGGGCCAUAAUCUCUUUGACUCUCUACUUGUAACCUUUCUUACAGGUAGAGUAACUCUUUGUAAAUUGUCAUCCUUGAUCAGUUUAUUGGUGUCACGCGAGAUUUCUUAUUGGUUAUGUCUGGUAUUGGUGUUAUGACUAAAAUUGAUGAUACUGUGACCAAACCGGGGACCUUCUGUGUGUGCGCACACAUGGUUGUACUGCUCGGUACACGCUAGUAUCACAAUUAGUAGUCAUAAUCCAUUAUGAGAUUAUAUCAAUAUGUUAUCUUUGCACAACUUGUACUUACCACGUGAGAUUCAUUAUUGGUGCCAGUUUUGUAAUGGUGUCAUGGUUAAGGACUUAUGGUACCGCGGCGAAACUGAGGGCCUCCUGUGAAUGCGCACACAGGAUUUUGCUGCUUGGCGCGUGCCGGUACCGAAGUCUCUAGUCAUGAUCCAUUAUGGAAUUACCCUGACGUGUGAUCUUCCGUGGACUCCUUCCUUGAAAUGAUUUUGGUGUUGUUUGUCGAGGUGAUCAAGCAACAUCUGUCAUCUCCAUUAGAUCAAAAGGGCAUACCACUUUCAUGUGUGGUCUUAUUUCUUUUGAUCUUGGUAGUGACUACUCAUACAAGUUCCCUUUACGUCUUUUGGGUAAAGGUGAAGCCUUGGAGCUUUUUAGUGUUGAAAAACAACUGAUUAGCUCUCAAAAUAGAGAUUUGGCUUUCCCUGCUGCUGAGAUGCAGGAGUUUGUUCAUUCGCUCUUUUAUUUAAUCCAUGUAUUCCCUAACCUAGUAGAUGAUUUAUCUGGCAUGAAGAAAUGAAUGAACAACCGGACCAAAUGGAUUUCUAUCCAAGUGCAUGAUCUCCUGUUAACCAAAGUGAACUCUCAACCCUUGGCUUACCAAUGGUAUUGAGAGGACCUGCUCAAUGUCAGAAGUAGUUCAACAAGUUGGUUUUACUAACUUGUAACUACAUUGUGAACAAAGGUUGAGUUUAGAGGUCGUUUUAUCGAGUUGUCUAAACUCACUUUGGUUCAACCCAUCAUAAGGAAGUAUUUGCAAGAAUUAAGUCGACCGAUAACCACCUAAUCAUCGCCCUAGUCAUGCCUCGAUCGCCUCACAUGUGCUUUUCCAGCAUGUGUGAUCAAGUAGAUCCAUGAUUAGUGCUCGAUAAAAUGGAUUGGUUGUGAAGGCAACAUCUACAAAUCCCUCCGCUGGUGAUUUUCUCGAAUCUAUGUCACCUUUCACGGACUUGGAUUCUUGGGCUUAACCACACGUCAACUGUGAGGUUGCUGACAUUCACAACCGUCUCGUGCGCUAUGAAUUUAUCAUGACCACUUGUUGGUAAACCUCUUUCUGUGUGUUUUACCCAGGAGGUUGCAUCUGGUUCUGUUUGGGUAAAAUCGCGUAUUUGCCGCUCGCUCAACACACUCAGAUAGUACAGUGUCAUCAGAAAAAGCAAACUGCACACAUGGAACCUUAUGUGUUCUUCUGGCAGAUAUCGUCUCUAAUGGUGGACAUCUUUAAAUUAGUCUAAGACGAUACAUGUUAUGUCCGCUAGAGAAACCAUAUUCUGAGACACUCGCCUUUGCUUGGAAAUGUCUCACGAUUAUCGCUGGUAUGGACAUGGGUUACAUGCUUCUGUACUCUUAAAAGUCUUUCACUCCAAAUCUCGGGACGAGAUUCUUUUAAGGGGGAAGGGCUGUAACACCCCUGGUGUUUAUAUUCCUCUCGACAACGAGUAUAAAUUUAAGCACGUAAUAUCAGUGGAUAAAACAGAUGCUAAAUUUUAAAUAUCUUCGUCUAUCGCGAUUUUAAUAUCGCAUCUGUUUUGUCGGUCGCGAGUUUGACAUCGUUUUUAUCUAUCCGGGCUUGUCCUAAAUUUUCGUGAUGUUCGGAACAUAGUUGUUCCGAAAAUCGGUGCAUCCGGUGAUUAUUUAAAAUCGUCGCUCGUACGAAUACAAAUUCGGAAGCCCGACCUACUCGGAUGAUUUUAUCCCAACAGAUUAAGAUGAACUCGACGACUAAGCUUUCAGUGUAAAAUAAUUUAGUCCACUUUUUGUUAUCCGAGACAUUGCGUCUAUGGAUUUUUAAUCGAAUUGCUUUCUAGUCGAAUGUUCGGAUAGCGGGCAAAAUUCGUCUAAAUUUAACUGAAACGAAUGCAAAUGAAAAUUAAUCGAUUAAGUCGAAUUAGAAACAUCACCUAAUUAUUUCGCUCUUGUUCGAGCGAUCUCUACGAACUCUGUAGCGAUAAUAUUAUGGUGGACUGUUUAGAAUAAAUCAAACUUGAACUAAAUGAAACCAGAACAGAUGAAGUUAUCUUUAUCUUAAGUCGUAUCAAAUACAGUUUAAAAUAUUGGUCCCAAUUUUUGUUGGGUUCGAUCUGUGUGUUUAUCGGACUUCGUGAAUACUCACCAAAUCAGACCCCAUAUAGGCAUUGUGUCCGGACAACACAUUGAUACGGCUCAUUUUGAUUCUUCUAAAUCCUAAUCUGGGAGCUUAGAUUUUAAUUAUAUUUAUAUUCAUAAUAUUUAUAUUCAUAGUUUCCGUUUUUUUUAAAAGAGGAUAAGAACAUAUAAAAGGAAAGAAAAUUUCUAAUUCUAUUUAUCCCCACCGCAUUAGGCUCUCACGUGGCGUGCUCAUCCCCAACCUGAUAUUUCUCACACCUCUCCUUAUCCUUUUCCCAGCUCGGCACCUGAUGUGGGCAUGCUUAGCCAUACUCAUUUUUCUAGCGUGUGUUUCUUUGGAUUAUCUCCCCACCGCUCUCUCCUUCACAUAGAUAUUUGGAAUACCUCUGUAUGCAUUCAUCUCCAGCCUUAUCCCCUCUACGUACAAAUGUUCUCAGUUCUUCCACCACACUACCGGAAUCCGAGGCUUUGCCGAGUGUGGGCUUCUUUGCCGAGUGCCUUUUGUCGGGCACUCGGCAAAGAAAGCUUUGCCGAGUGCCGCUCUCGGUACAGUUAGGCACUCGGCAAAUCGUGCUUUGCCGAGAGCUGAACACUCGGCACCGAACGGCACUCGGCAAAGAUAACUUUGCCGAGUGUCAAACACUCGGCAAACGGCCGUCAGCGACCGUCCCAAAACUGACGGUUGUUAGUCUUUGCCGAGUGUCCGCCGUUGGCUCUCGGCAAAGAUGUUCUGUACCGAGUGUCACAUAGCAGGCACUCGGCAAAGCAUACUUUGCCGAGUGUCAUAACUGGACACUCGGCAAAGUAUAUUUUUAUUUUUUUUAUUUUUUGCAACCAAACUUUUUGUGGUGUGUUCCUACACUAUGUAUACCUACAUGUAUCAUUUGUGGACAAUUUUAACAGAGUUUUCAAUCGUUAGUAGAUUUAGUUCGUUUAUUUGAAUUUCUUCGAAAAAUUUAGAUUUGAACUGUAGGUCACUCGAAACUUGGAAAACCGUGCAUGCAAAAAUGAUAUUCAUGUUACUUAGCAUAAGUUACGACCGAUUCCAGGAGCGGACCGGAAACUUCGAGCAACAUGCUCACUAAACAUGGCCGUGAACUUGCCAUACACAUGUUUAAAAAUUGUAUAAAACACAAACAAAGUCAGAAAAUCCUGAAACUUGUUCACGUGUCAUGAUAUCAUAUGUACAGGCUGCGAUAAAAAUUUUAGAAUGUUUGGAGAAAGUUGUGGGACACUAUGUGUAGAAACCUAAGAGAACUACACAUGAAAUCAGAUUUCAUGUGUAGUUCUCUUAGGUUUCUACACAUAGUGUCCCACAACUUUCUCCAAACAUUCUAAAAUUUUUAUCGCAGCCUGUACAUAUGAUAUCAUGACACGUGAACAAGUUUCAGGAUUUUCUGACUUUGUUUGUGUUUUAUACAAUUUUUAAACAUGUGUAUGGCAAGUUCACGGCCAUGUUUAGUGAGCAUGUUGCUCGAAGUUUCUGGUCCGCUCCUGGAAUCGGCCGUAACUUAUGCUAAGUAACAUGAAUAUCAUUUUUGCAUGCACAGUUUUCCAAGUUUCGAGUGACCUACAGUUCAAAUCUAAAUUUUCCGAAGAAAUUCAAAUAAACGAACUAAAUCUACUAACGAUUGAAAACUCUGUUAAAAUUGUCCACAAAUGAUACAUGUAGGUAUACAUAGUGUAGGAACACACCACAAAAAGUUUGGUUGCAAAAAAUAAAAAAAAUACAAAAUACUUUGCCGAGUGCUGUCCAGUUAACACUCGGCAAAGACAACUUUGCCGAGUGCCUCUCCUUGGGCACUCGACAAAGCCUGUACAACACAUCUUUGCCGAGUGCUCUACAGCUAGCACUCGGCAAAGGAGACUUUGCCGAGUGCCCGAGAUCCAGCACUCGGCAAAGUUUAUUUUUUAAUUUUUAAAAAAUCUUUGCCGAGUGCCGGAUCGCGGGCACUCGGCAAAGAACGUUUUAAUACCGUAAAAACGCCCGCACUCCCUGUCUCUCUCUCACUCUCACUUUCUCUCUUUCUCUGCCCCCAACCCGCCGCCGCCCGCCGGAGCGCCGCCGUCGCUCGCCGAGACCGCCCCCAACCCGCUGUCGCCCGCCGGAGCGCCGCCGUCGCUCGCCGAGCCCGCCCCCAACCCGCCGUCGCGCCCGCCGGAGCUCGCCGUCGCGCCCGCCGGAGCCCGCCCCCAACCCGCCGUCCGCCCGCCGUUCUUGCGCCACCCGCCGUCGCACGCCGUCGCGCCGCUCGAGCCGCCCGCCGUCGCGCCGCUCGAGCCGCCAGCCGUCGCGCCCGCCGUCCGCCCGCCGUCGCGCAGUCUGCCCGCUCGCCGCCGUCCGCGCCGCGUCGUCUGCCCGCUCGUCGCCGUCUGCGUCGCACACAUCUUUGCACUCCAGCAGCAGGUACGUAUACUAGGCAAUAGAGAAUAUAUAUGCACUAAUUCACAUUUGUUGAUAUACAUAAGUAGUUCCACCUCACAAUAAAAGCGAUAGUAGCACAGUAGCGCAGUACGUAUAAAGUUUAUAUAUAAUGUUUGUGUGGCGAUAGAUAUGAUUGUGUACGGGUCCUAGUUUUAGUUGUAUGCCGAUUAUAUAUGAUUGUGUGAUGGUGGAUAUGGAUGUCGAUUAAAUGUGAUUGUCGGCCAUCGUGCCGUUGAUAUAUGUGUGAAUGUCAGCCAUCGUGCUGUUACUUUUAUUUGCAGGUUUUGGAAACCUCCCCGUGCAGGGGAGGUGCUGCCGAAUUUUUUUGUUGACAUACUUGUUUAUUUUUUUGCAGAGGUCUUCCUAGCCGCUGCGGGUCUGCCUCGCGUCGCCACUGCACCGACCCGCCACAGCCCCACUAGCCUGACUCCACCGCCACCCUAGGUAUAACCUCUACAAUCCUGACAAGAUGGUUCACGCAUCCGAUGGUGAAGCAUGGACCCACUUUGAUGUCAUUCACCAUGAGAAAGCUAAAGAGGCUCGUAAUGUUCGUGUUGCGCUGGCCACAGAUGGGUUCAAUCCCUAUGGAAUGACCGCUGCCCCAUACACAUGUUGGCCUGUGUUCGUUAUCCCCAUCAAUCUCCCCCCCCGGCGUAUGCUUUCAAAGACAGAACAUAUUCGUGUCGUUGAUAAUUCCUGGACACCCGGGGAAUAAAAUGGGCGUGUACAUGGAGCCUUUGAUUGAUGAAUUGGUCCGUGCUUGGGAGGAAGGGGUAUGGACGUACGACCGAGCUACGAAGACAAACUUCAAAAUGCAUGUUUGGUACCAGUACUCCAUGCAUGACUUUCCGGCGUACGAGCUAUUUUGCGCCUGGUGUGUUCACGGUAAGUUCCCAUGCCCAGUUUGCAAGGAAGCUCUUAGGUUCAUUUGGUUGAAGAAGGGUGGCAAAUAUUCGUCAUUCGAUAAACAUCGACAAUUUCUCCCUCCUGACCAUGCAUUCCGACUAGACAUCAAGAACUUUACGAAAGGUGUCGUGGUGACAGACCGCCCACCUGCAAUGAUGACUGGUGCCGAAGUUCACGAAGAGAUAGAUGGUCUCGUGGCCAACCCAGAAGGUGGUUUUGUGGGAUAUGGUGAGCAACAUAUGUGGACACAUAAGUCGGGAUUGACUCGGCUCCCCUAUUAUGAUGACCUGCUCCUUCCACACAACAUUGACGUGAUGCACACUGAAAAGAAUGUCGCCGAGGCACUUUGGGCAACAAUUAUGGAGAUUCCUGAUAAGUCAAAGGAUAACGUAAAGGCAAGAGUGGAUCUGGCAGAGUUAUGUGAUAGACCAAACCAAGAGAUGAAGCCGCCUAGUGGUGGUAAGACAUGGAGAAGGCCUAAGGCUGAUUUUGUCCUGAGCAGGGCCCAGAGGAAGGAAGUACUAGAGUGGAUCAAGAUGUUAAUGUUCCCUGAUGGGUAUGCAGCUAACCUUAGUAGGGGGGUGAACUUAUCUACUCUGCGAGUCUUAGGGAUGAAGAGUCAUGACUUCCACAUAUGGAUUGAACGAAUUCUUCCGGCGAUGGUUCGAGGCUAUGUCCCUGAGCAUGUCUGGCUAGCGCUUGCUGAGUUGAGCUAUUUCUUCCGCCAGCUUUGUGCAAAAGAGUUAGCUCGGACCAUGAUUGCAGACUUGGAAAGGAUGGCACCCGUGUUACUAUGUAAGCUGGAGAAGAUCUUUCCACCCGGCUUCUUCAAUCCGAUGCAGCAUUUGAUUAUUCAUCUCCCGUAUGAGGCACGAAUGGGGGGGCCCGUGCAGGGACGUUGGUGCUAUCCAAUCGAGAGAUGUCUAAAGACUAUCCGAAAGAAAUGUAGAAAUAAAUGCAAAAUCGAGGCUUCCAUUGCAGAGGCAUACAUACUGGAGGAGGUGUCAAACUUCACAACAACUUACUAUGGUGACAAACUGCCGAGCGUGCAUAAUCCACCCCCUCGUUACAAUGAUGGCGACAAUGAAUCGAAUCUCAGCAUUUUUCGAGGGCAACUCGGAAGCGCAAGUGGUUCGACCACCAAGACCCUGAGACAUGAAGAGUGGCGCCAUAUCAUGCUAUAUGUAUUGACCAACCUUGAAGAGGUGACGCCAUACAUGGAGCAAUUUCUUCAUGAAUUCUGGCGUCGAUCAAGGGACCCAACUCCACAGGAAUAUGAUACCCUUCUUCGAAAGGGUGCAGGAAAUGGAUUGCCCGAUUUCAUUUCCUGGUUUAAACGUAAGGUACGUGCUUAGUUUGUCAUUUGAAGUUGCUCUUACGUGCGAAUAAUAUAACAAUCUAGCGUGUUUGAACUUGCAGGGCCAAAGAGAGCCGUCUAUGAGUGCCGAGUUGAGACAAGUAGCCAAUGGCUUUGCCUAUAGGGUCAGGAAAUUUUCUGGGUAUGACAUCAAUGGAUACCGUUUUCGCACAACAAGCUACGACCAAAGCCGGCCCAAUCGAAAAACCACGUGUUCUGGAGUCUAUACGCCCGGGCUUGACGAGGUCGAGUAUUAUGGAAGAAUUGAAGAUAUAUAUGAACUCAAUUUUUAUGGUUCCAAACCUCUUACUCCAGUGAUAUUCAAAUGUCAUUGGUUUGACCCUGAUGUUACGAGACGGACACAUUCUAAUCUUGGGCUAGUCGAAAUUCGACAGGAUUCCACCUUACCAGGAGACGAUGUCUAUAUUGUGGCCCAACAGGCCACACAAGUGUAUUAUCUUCCAUAUGCGUGCCAAACGAAACAACAUCUUAAGGGUUGGGAUGUUGUGUAUAAGGUAUCACCGCACGCUAAAUUACCUGUUCCAAACGAUGAAGAUUAUAACUUAGACCCGGACACAUAUGACGGAGAGUUCUUCCAAGAAGAUGGGCUCGAAGGGCAAUUUGAGAUAGACUUAACCGAAGCGAUCGGAAUGGAAGUAGAUAUUGAAAUGGUUGUUGAUGACGAGGAUGAUGAGGUGCAAAAUGAGAAUGACUUAGAAAUACUUGAAGGCAAUGCCAAUGAAGAAAUUGCGCCUUCUGAUGAUGUCGACUAUGAAAUGGUUGAUAGUGAUGAUGACACUUAUGAUCCGGCUAACCCGGACACAUAUGAAGAUUAUUUUUAAUCGAUGUAAUGCUAUAUUUCAUUUAUUUUGCAUAUGUUUCUAAAUACAUAUUUUUUAUUUGUGCUUAAUUGUUUACUCUUAAUUGCAGGUUGUUGGACAAAGAUGGUGGGCGGUGGGACGAGGACGAGGAGGGGGAGGGGGAGGGGGAGGAGGAGCACCCGUAGGACGGAGGAGGAGGCGCAGCAGGACGACGCCGUACAGCAGCAGGUGGAGCAGCAAGCCGCUGUCGAUGCGGCACAGCAGGACGACGACGAUGCGGCGCAGCAGGACGACGACGACGACGACGCCGCUCAGCAGGACGUCUCAGGUUCUGGCUCCUCAGGUUCGAGGAGUAUCUACCUGCGAGGUCCCGCGAGCCUCCCUAAGCGACCCAUACUUCGUGACAGACGUCCGCUGAUACGACCCGAUGGAGAGAGGUAGGUAACUUUAGAUAUUGUUGCUGCCUUUUCAUAUUAUAUGUUCAAAUUAAUAAUAGAAACUAAUACUUCAUCUUAAUCACUUGGACAGGUCUUGGAUGGUUUUGGAGACUGCAGGGGGUCACGGCCGCAACCCCAAUGGCAUCCUGGGCCUUCUAUGCCGGGAACACUUCCCUGGACUUGUCGAGUACGCCGGAGUGACGAGCCCAGCAUACACCUUCGACCACUACGCCGUCGCCCCCGAUGCAGUAGAUCGGGACGGCAGACAAUUCAACAACAAGGCGGAGCGGGUGAAGCAAGAGCUGUGGGUAAGUCUUCAUCGCACUAUAUUGUUUAAUAAGUCGCAUUUGUUGCAUAUUCUUGAAAUAAUGUAUGGAUACAUCGUCUUUGUGUAUGUAGGAUUUCUUCAGGUGCGAUGCUGGAUAUGAGGCCAGGGCGGAUGUGGUGUCUACGACAUGCUGUAAGAAGCUCGUCGUGGACAUGCACUACGAGGCGCGCAUCCAGGCCAUCGUCACUUACCACGGCUCCGUCCUUGGGGAGAAGGUGAACAAGAAGGAUGCCCGAACCAUGUCGUUGACUCCGGACCAGUACUUGCAGGUAAAUACAAAACUUUAUUAUUGGUACUAAAUAUGCUUAUUUUUUUCUUCUGAUAUGCUGUGUACUUAUAUUUUUUUAGAUGAUUCCUCAUUGGUGCGCCGCGCAUCCUGAGUGCUGGGAGCAGAUGGUGCAGAGGUGGUGCUCGGCUGAGUGGGAUGAGGCGCACAACGCUAGCCGGGAACGGCGUUUGCUGAUGCAAGGUCCCUCCCACCAUCAAGGCAGCCGCAGCCUGGGCAAAUACGCGGAAGCAUGGGUACGCGCUCUUUUUUAUUUAGGUAUAUAACUUUCGAUUAGACAUGAUUUCUAACCAUCUCGUUGGUUUUCUCGCAGUCGGCGGCACAUGGUGGCGCGCCUUGCUCCACGUUCUCGGCAUAUGCCAUGGCCCACAAGGGGAAGGCGACGUCCGACGUCACCUACAACCCGGAUGACGGGCCCGAGGCGUACACCAACCCCGCCAUCCACAGCCGACUCAGUGAGUACACCGCCAUGGCCAAGGAGGUCCAUGGGCCAGAUUACGAUCCGAGGACCGAGGACAUCGACGGAGAUGUCCUCAUGAGGGUCGGAGGAGGCAAGAGGCAUGGGCGGUACUGGAUUGCCGACGGGGCAAUCGACUCGUCCUCCACUCCCACUCUCUCUCAGGUGCGAGCAAGGAGCACGAGCGCGAGCCCAGCCAUACGACCUCGGCAGGACACCUCACAGCAUCGUAUCCAGCAACUCCAGGUUAUUCCUUAUCUAUUCAUCGUUCAUUGAUUUUUAUAUAUCUUCUCUUUGCAUUAUCGUAACAUUAGGGCGAAAUAUUACAGACUCAGCUAGAUGAUGAGAGGAGGCAACGUGAGGAGCUAGAGAAGAGGAUGGCGGAGAUGUUCGUGUACAUGCAGAGCCUUGGCGCCACACAGGGUCAUGCUCCACCACCUCCGUUGUUCCCUGCAGCUGACCCUACAGAGUUCACUACUCCUGUGAGUAUCAAAAUUUUAGUACUGCAUGAUAUAUAUUCAUAUGUUCUCACACAUACAAUCUCUUCUCUGUGCAGGGUCAAUCGGCGGCGUCGAACAACCCUCAUGCUUCGUCCAGCCCUUCGCCGAACCAGUCCAGAUGCCCACCUCGUUGAUGAUUUGUUUUGUGAUGAUCCAGACUUACCUUUAUGAGUGUUGGUGAUGUUAGUUACACUUUAUCUUGUGAGAUACUUGGUGAUGUUAGUGAUGAUGCAGACUUGUAUCUGUUUUGUGAUGAUCCUGACUUUAGUGUGAUCUGUUUUGUGAGACUUUGUGAUAUAUAUGGUGUUGAUGAUAAAUGUGUUCAUUCUGUGAUGUGCUUGAUAUAUAAUGUGAUGUGAAUGAUAUAUAUCUUUUGUUUGUUUGGAUGGAACAACAAAAGCAAAUAAAAAAGGGACAUCCUGGUCACUUUGCCGAGUGUAACACUCGGCAAAGGGUGGCUUUGCCGAGUGCUAUGACCAUGGCACUCGGCAAAGAAGGGAACCUGGGAACCGGUAAAGACAUCUUUGCCGAGUGCUGACAGUGGCACUCGGCAAAGAAGGAAACCUGGGAACCGGCAAAGAUAUCUUUGCCGAGUGCUUUUGCCAAGACACUCGGCAAAGAUACUGGCAAAGGGGCCCACUGGAGGGUUCUUUGCCGAGUGCCAGGCCACCAGACACUCGGCAAAGAAACCUUCUUUGCCGAGUGCCAUUAGGGCUCUCGGCACAGGGACUGACUGUGGGGUCCACUGGACCAGUCUUUGCCGAGUGUCGCCGUAGGCACUCGGCAAAGGAUCCGUCACCGUUACUUGGCGCCGUGACGGUGACUUUUCUUUGCCGAGUGCCAAAUGGCACUCGGCAAAGACUUUGCCGAGUGCCCGACAAAAAGUACUCGGCAAAGAAGCUGUUGCCGAUGUACAGUUCGCCGAGCGUUCUUUGCCGAGUGUUACACUCGGCAAAGCCUUUGCCGAGUGUAAAAUAGCCUUUGCCGUGUGUUUAGAACACACGGCAAAGAAGCUGAUUCCGGUAGUGCCAGUAGCCAAAGGUCUCACGUUGGCUUUGAUGUCUCACGUCUCUUGCUCCCUCCAUGCAAGUGCCUAGCCGCUGUCACCCAUGGCCGUGCUCUGUAUCUCUAGCCAUCAGUCGUUCAUCCUUGCUCCACCGUGCUCAACAUCCAGGCUUCAAUCUCCUUGCCGCUGUCAUGGUUCAGCUUUGGAGCUCGCCUCUACUGGCCCAUGGCGCAGCAUGUCGCCCAGAUUCAAACUUCGUCGUGGUCCUCUAGCUCCUCGCCAUCAUGGCAGCCACUACUCCAGCUCGCGUCUAUGGACGUCAGACCGUAUCCCUCAAGCAGCUGCGUCUCUGUCAUACUUUGGUCUUUGAUCUCGCUGCUAGCAGACACCGGUUCUCAUCCUCGCCAACCCCUGCUCGGCCCCAGCUCGAUCUCCGCCUCGUCAUCACCGG
rnacentral:lncRNA from 1 species